rnacentral:rRNA from 1 species
UACGUAGGGGGCUAGCGUUGUCCGGAAUCAUUGGGCGUAAAGAGCGUGUAGGCGGUCCGGUAAGUCCGCUGUGAAAGUCGGGGGCUCAACCCUCGAAUGCCGGUGGAUACUGUCGGGCUAGAGUGCGGAAGAGGCGAGUGGAAUUCCUGGUGUAGCGGUGAAAUGCGCAGAUAUCAGGAGGAACACCAAUUGCGAAGGCAGCUCGCUGGGACGCAACUGACGCUGAGACGCGAAAGCGUGGGGAGCAAACAGG